AACGCACCUUGCGCCCCUUGGUAUUCCGAGGGGCAUGCCUGUUUGAGUGUCAUUUUAUCAUCAACUCAUUAGUCUUUGAUUAGGCUUUUGGGCUUGGACUUGGGAAUUGCUGGCUUGAUCUUUACUCAUUGAAAAGUAUCUAAUACUUAAUAGAGGGUAGAAGUGUAGUCGGCUGUCCUUAAAUGCAUUAGCGAGUGUUAGUCUACAUGGCACGGCCUCUUGACGUGAUAAUGAUCGUCGUGGGCUGGAAGUGUAGUGUCUGGCUUCUAAUCAUUGAUUGCGUGCAUACGGCCCAUAAAGCUGGAAGCGCAACAAACCACGACUUACGUGCAAGCGUAGUUCGAAAUUGACAUUUGACCUCAAAUCAGGUAGGACUACCCGCUGAACUUAA
rnacentral:misc_RNA from 1 species